UGGGAAAGUCGAGGAGAAAUAAGACGUUAUAUUCAUCCCAGAGAGCGGAGAGACGGGGGAUUUGUAACAGGAGACCAGGACGGAGGCGGGGGAGAAAGAAACACACAGAAAUAUUGAUGACCCCCUACGUGGGCAGGCACGUGGGUGAUGGUGUUCAUUUCUCCAUUUCCCAAACACCCCUGGGGCCAAUACAGGUCUGUCCAAGCUCUGAAAGAUGAUGUUUGGCCCAUCUAAUAACCACUAUUUUGAGCCCAAGCUCCCAAUGAACUCAGUAAAAAGACUGACUCAGCUUAAAAGGGCUCCAGACCUCUGCCAUUCAGCAAUAACAAGAAUAACAAGAAACUCGUUAUUUUACAACCUGCCCCGGGGAGGAGGGGAAGAGGGAGAAGAUGGCUUUGUGAUGUGCUGCUUGGAGGAAACAAGCUCAGAAAAACCUGGGUCGAGGGAGAAGUCCCUCCUGUUAGAGAGACCUUGUCUCCUCUUAAACACAUGCCCUUAUGCAUGCCUGCACUAGAAGUAGGGCUAUAAGGAAUGAGGAUUUGUUUGGGGUGUUUUUUCUUUUUUUCUGCAGGCUCAUUCUUGAAAGGUGUAUUUCUUUCUAGCAAUCACACAUACAUGUACAUGAUUUUUUGUGAAAAGUAACCUCUCAGGACUCCGACAAGGCAUGAGCCAUCCCAGCCCUGAGCUGGGGAGGAGGAGGUGGCAGCAGUGGCAGUGGGACACUCCAUGUGUUAUGUGAUCUGUAUUUGUCGUUCGUCCGCGUGAGGGAGGCUGUGAUGGUUUGCCGCGGGGAGGACAGCAGUGGCAGCCUGGUCUCAGCCCGGCUUUCCCAAUUCCCUUUCCCUCUUUGAUGCUGAGGAUGGGCACACUCACCCAGCGGCCAGCCCAGCUGUGCCCACAUGCGCAAGGUGCCCCCUCCAGCCAUGCCACCUUCCCUGCUGCCAUGGCCCCUUUGUGACUUGGACACCUCCAUUCUGCAUCCUCCUGCUGAACCCCUCUGGAAUGGCAUCCCAGCAAACCUCCUCACCAGCAGAUGUUUGAUUUCCAAAGCUGCUGUGGAAAAAAAAAAAAAAAACCAAAAACGAAAACCUGUGCCUAUUUUAUACCCAUGGAGCAGAGAUGGAGGGUGAGUGAAAUGAGGGUUCCCUGACAGAGUCCUUGGAUCUCCUUUACAAGGGGACAUGUCAUCCUGUCAUCAAGACAUGACCUUCCCUGGGCAUUGUUUUGUGUAGCAUCCCACCCCAGAAGCAAACAAGCCAAGUUAGCACGACUAAGCAUGUGUUUAAGUGUUGUUCUGGAUGAGAGAAAAAAAAUAAAUGCUUGCUACCUUGCA
rnacentral:lncRNA from 1 species